rnacentral:lncRNA from 1 species
CUUGAUUUUUAGUAUCAGAUCCUCUAUACUUCCGAUAGUAUAUUAGCUCUACUCUCUCUCUCUCUCUCUAUAUAUAUAUAUAGAGUUGGACUUGGUUACUAUUAGUAGCAAAAUUNCUAUAUAUAUAUAUAUAUAUAUAUAUAUAUAUAUAUAUAUAGAGUUGGACUUGGCUACUAUUAGUAGCAAAAUCCCAUUGUUGCUAAUAGUUUUUUAGCCUUUGGGUCAACUCUUUUCAUUAUUUCUUACCAUUGGAUUAAAUACUAUAACCCAGUGGGGACCACUCAACCCUAGGGGGACCACUCAACUCUAACCGACUAAUAUCAUCCCGACCCUACAAUUUUUCAUCCAAGGGUUAAAAACUUGAUAGCAAAAAGAGCGUUUUACUAUUAAUAGUAUUCCAGCCUAAUUAUAUAUAUAUGAAUCCGGCUACUAUACUUUUAGGAGUACGAUCACCCUCGUACUCAUAAGUUGUUUUCGAUGAUAGAGCUUGCGAAUCGACAAUCCAUACCGUUAAACAUUAUCUGGAGCAUUAAAACGUCUAGAAAUUAAAUUUUAUAAUUUUUCGACAUCAUUUAUCUUACGAUUAAAAGGAUACAAAAUUGACAAUUUUUAACGGCUAGUAUGGAAUAUUUGCUAGUUUAACAGUGUAAAAGAAUCGAAAUCAGUUGAAUUUUUAAUAAAAAAUUUUAUUCACUACAUAGAUAAAGAUUAAUAACUCCGAUCUUAAAUUGAAGGAUCCGAUCAUCCAUUUUUAAGGCGUCGUUCGAUUUUGACUGUUCAUUUUAUACGCGCUUGAUGAACUUUCUUAUAAUUUCGAAAAAUUACGAAAUUUAUUUUCUAGGAGUUUCAAAUACUUUAUAUCAUAUUUAAUGGAGUUGAUCGUCGAUUCGAAAGUUUCAUCAUUGAAAACAACUUAUGAGUACGAAGUGCUCUAUACUAAUAAGAGUAUAGUAACUCUAGCCCCAUAUAU